rnacentral:rRNA from 1 species
GGGAGAAGGCACGCUGAUAUGUAGGUGAAGCGACUUGCUCGUGGAGCUGAAAUCAGUCGAAGAUACCAGCUGGCUGCAACUGUUUAUUAAAAACACAGCACUGUGCAAACACGAAAGUGGACGUAUACGGUGUGACGCCUGCCCGGUGCCGGAAGGUUAAUUGAUGGGGUUAGCGGUAACGCGAAGCUCUUGAUCGAAGCCCCGGUAAACGGCGGCCGUAACUAUAACGGUCCUAAGGUAGCGAAAUUCCUUGUCGGGUAAGUUCCGACCUGCACGAAUGGCGUAAUGAUGGCCAGGCUGUCUCCACCCGAGACUCAGUGAAAUUGAACUCGCUGUGAAGAUGCAGUGUACCCGCGGCAAGACGGAAAGACCCCGUGAACCUUUACUAUAGCUUGACACUGAACAUUGAGCCUUGAUGUGUAGGAUAGGUGGGAGGCUUUGAAGUGUGGACGCCAGUCUGCAUGGAGCCGACCUUGAAAUACCACCCUUUAAUGUUUGAUGUUCUAACGUUGGCCCCUAAUCGGGGUUGCGGACAGUGUCUGGUGGGUAGUUUGACUGGGGCGGUCUCCUCCUAAAGAGUAACGGAGGAGCACGAAGGUUGGCUAAUCCUGGUCGGACAUCAGGAGGUUAGUGCAAUGGCAUAAGCCAGCUUGACUGCGAGCGUGACGGCGCGAGCAGGUGCGAAAGCAGGUCAUAGUGAUCCGGUGGUUCUGAAUGGAAGGGCCAUCGCUCAACGGAUAAAAGGUACUCCGGGGAUAACAGGCUGAUACCGCCCAAGAGUUCAUAUCGACGGCGGUGUUUGGCACCUCGAUGUCGGCUCAUCACAUCCUGGGGCUGAAGUAGGUCCCAAGGGUAUGGCUGUUCGCCAUUUAAAGUGGUACGCGAGCUGGGUUUAGAACGUCGUGAGACAGUUCGGUCCCUAUCUGCCGUGGGCGCUGGAGAACUGAGGGGGGCUGCUCCUAGUACGAGAGGACCGGAGUGGACGCAUCACUGGUGUUCGGGUUGUCAUGCCAAUGGCACUGCCCGGUAGCUAAAUGCGGAAGAGAUAAGUGCUGAAAGCAUCUAAGCACGAAACUUGCCCCGAGAUGAGUUCUCCCUGAGACUUAGAGUCUCCUGAAGGAACGUUGAAGACGACGACGUUGAUAGGCCGGGUGUGUAAGCGCAGCGAUGCGUUGAGCUAACCGGUACUAAUGAACCGUGAGGCUUAACCUUACAACGCCGAAG